rnacentral:rRNA from 1 species
UACGUAGGGGGCUAGCGUUGUCCGGAAUCAUUGGGCGUAAAGAGCGUGUAGGCGGUCCGGUAAGUCCGUUGUGAAAGUCAGGGGCUCAACCCUUGAAUGCCGGCGGAUACUGUCGGGCUAGAGUCCGGAAGAGGCGAGUGGAAUUCCCGGUGUAGCGGUGAAAUGCGCAGAUAUCGGGAGGAACACCAAUUGCGAAGGCAGCUCGCUGGGACGUUACUGACGCUGAGGCGCGAAAGCGUGGGGAGCAAACAGG